UACGGAGGGUGCGAGCGUUGUCCGGAAUCACUGGGCGUAAAGGGCGCGUAGGCGGCGAGGAUAGUCAACGGUGAAAGCUUGGGGCUCAACCCCGAGUCGGCCGUCGAUACUUCCUUGCUUGAGCACUGUAGAGGCAGAUGGAAUUCCGGGUGUAGCGGUGGAAUGCGUAGAGAUCCGGAAGAACACCGGUGGCGAAGGCGGUCUGCUGGGCGAGACACUGGACGCUCAUGCACGAAAGCGUGGGGAGCAAAC
rnacentral:rRNA from 1 species